rnacentral:rRNA from 1 species
AUUGAACGCUGGCGGCAGGCCUAACACAUGCAAGUCGAGCAGGGUUUUCGGACCUAGCGGCGGACGGGUGAGUAAUGCGUAGGAAGCUACCCGAUAGAGGGGGAUACCAGUUGGAAACGACUGUUAAUACCGCAUAAUGUCUACGGACCAAAGUGUGGGACCUUCGGGCCACAUGCUAUCGGAUGCGCCUACGUGGGAUUAGCUAGUCGGUGAGGUAAUGGCUCACCAAGGCGACGAUCCCUAGCUGGUUUGAGAGGAUGAUCAGCCACACUGGAACUGAGACACGGUCCAGACUCCUACGGGAGGCAGCAGUGGGGAAUAUUGGACAAUGGGCGCAAGCCUGAUCCAGCCAUGCCGCGUGUGUGAAGAAGGCCUCCGGGUUGUAAAGCACUUUCAGUAGGGAGGAAGCGUUGUGUGUUAAUAGUACACAGCGUUGACGUUACCUACAGAAGAAGCACCGGCUAACUCUGUGCCAGCAGCCGCGGUAACAC